rnacentral:rRNA from 1 species
UGGGGAAUAUUGGACAAUGGGCGAAAGCCUGAUCCAGCCAUGCCGCGUGUGUGAAGAAGGUCUUCGGAUUGUAAAGCACCUUAAGUUGGGAGGAAGGGCAUUAACCUAAUACGUUGGUGUCUUGACGUUACCGACAGAAUAAGCACCGGCUAACUCUGUGCCAGCAGCCGCGGUAAUACAGAGGGUGCAAGCGUUAAUCGGAAUUACUGGGCGUAAAGCGCGCGUAGGUGGUUCGUUAAGUUGGAUGUGAAAUCACCGGGCUCAACCUGGGAACUGCAUUCAAAACUGACGAGCUAGAGUAUGGUAGAGGGAGGUGGAAUUUCCUGUGUAGCGGUGAAAUGCGUAGAUAUAGGAAGGAACACCAGUGGAGAAGGCGACCACCUGGACUGAUACUGACACUGAGGUGCGAAAGCGUGGGGAGCAAACA